rnacentral:piRNA from 1 species
UCAAAUUCUAGUAAGCGUUGCAUUGGGU